GAUGAACGCUGGCGGCGUGCCUAAUACAUGCAAGUCGAGCGAAGCGGGGACGGGUGAGUAACACGUGGAUAACCUCCUAUAAGACUGGGAUAACUUCGGGAAACCGGAGCUAAACCGGAUACUUAUAGAUGGAUCCGCGCUGCAUUAGCUAGUUGGAGGGGUAACGGCCCACCAAGGCGAUGAUCAGUAGCCGGUCUGAGAGGAUGAACGGCCACAUUGGGACUGAGACACGGCCCAGACUCCUACGGGAGGCAGCAGUGGGGAAUAUUGGACAAUGGGCGAAAGCCUGAUCCAGCCAUGCCGCGUGUGUGAAGAAGGUCUUCGGAUUGUAAAGCACUUUAAGUUGGGAGGCGUUACCAACAGAAUAAGCACCGGCUAACUUCGUGCCAGCCGCCGCGGUAAUAC
rnacentral:rRNA from 1 species